ACAGUGUAUUACGUACAAUGAAAAUAUUUUGUUUCUAAAGAUGGUGUUGAGGUUUUUCAGUAAAGAUGCUCCAAAAUUAGAAUUUCAAUUACUUCUUUCAUAAAUAUCUACAAAAACAGACUUCAAUCAAUAUACAACAUAGACAUAAAAAACAAACAUGGAGACGUCAUCAACAGGCAUCUAGUGUUUUACACAUUUCGGUGUUUGCCUGGAGCCGGGGGCUGUUGUGUAAAAGAAAAA